AUGAAGCCAGCUGCUUCCAUUGGUGGGUCAUUUUUGCUGUCACCAGCCACGUUGCCACGACGAACAUCUUUGACAGAUCCGUUCUUGACAUUGAAGCCCACAUUGUCCCCAGGAAGAGCCUCAUGUAACAUUGACUGGAGCAAAGGUGACCACCAUGCCAGGCUUGAGAACACCAGUCUCCACUCGACCCACUGGGACAGUACCAAUACCACCAAUUUUGUAGAUGUCCUGGAGAGGCAGAUGCAAGGGCAUAUCAGUUGGAUGAGUUGGUGGCAGAAUGCAAGCCAGAGCUUCAAGCAGUGUGGUCCCGCUGGCUUUCCCAUCUUUACGGGUGACUUUCCAUCCCUUGAACCAAGGCAUGUUAGCACUUGGCUCCAGCAUGUUGUCACCAUUCUAACCAGAAAUUGGCCCAAAUGCUACUGUGUCGGGGUUGUAGCCAAUUUUCUUAAUGUAGGUGCUGACUUCCUUAACGAUUCCCUCGAAUCUCUUCUGGCUGUAGGGUGGUUCAGUGGAAUCCAUUUUGUUAACACCAACAAUUAGUUGUUUUACACCCAGUGUGUAAGCCAGAAGGGCAUGCUCAUGGGUCUGCCCAUUCUUGGAGAUACCUGCUUCAAAUUCACCAACACCAGCAGCAACAAUCAGGACAGUCAGCCUGAGAUGUGCCUGUAAUCAUGUUUUUGAUAAAGUCUCUGUGUCCUGCGGCAUCAGUGAUGGUCACAUAAUACUUGCUGGUCUCGAAUUUCCACAGGGAGGUAUCAAUGGUGAUCCCACGUUCACGUUCAGCUUUCAGUUUAUCCAAGACCCAGGCAUACCUGAAGGAGCCUUUUCCCAUCUCAGCAGCCUCCUUCUCAAAUUUUCCGAUAGUUCUUUUGUCGAUCCCACCACAUUUGUAGAUCAGAUGGCCAGUAGUGGUAGACUUGCCCGAAUCUACAUGUCCAAUGACGACGAUGUUGAUGUGAGUCUUUUCCUUUCCCAUUUUGGUUUAGGUUUAGCGGCGGUUUUCACGACAGCUGUGUUCUAGCUGUAAACCCAUUGCAAAAAAGCUCUUUCUUUCUUUUUUAACCAACAGU
rnacentral:lncRNA from 12 species